CCUGCCCCUAGAGGCUUUGCCAGUGUAGCUACUAUGUCACAUGCACAUUAUUGGGUGGCAAAGAAGAGAGAGGCUAUGUCUAUACUCUGUUCUUCUCUAUGAACUUCUGAAUGAUUAGCAGCCUAACAUU
ensembl:snoRNA Gm23705 small nucleolar RNA SNORA17